GAUGAACGCUGGCGGCGUGCUUAACACAUGCAAGUCGAACGAUUAAGACGGCUUCGGCCGUGUAUAGAGUGGCGAACGGGUGAGUAACACGUGACCAACCUGCCCCGCGCUCCGGGACAACCGCUGGAAACGGCGGCUAAUACCGGAUGCUCCGGGGAGGCCCCAUGGCCUCCCCGGAAAAAGCCCUACGGCGCGGGAUGGGGUCGCGGCCCAUUAGGUAGACGGCGGGGUAACGGCCCACCGUGCCCGCGAUGGGUAGCCGGACUGAGAGGUCGACCGGCCACAUUGGGACUGAGAUACGGCCCAGACUCCUACGGGAGGCAGCAGUGGGGAAUUUUGCGCAAUGGGGGGAACCCUGACGCAGCAACGCCGCGUGCGGGACGAAGGCCUUCGGGUUGUAAACCGCUUUCAGCAGGGAAGACAUAGACGGUACCUGCAGAAGAAG
rnacentral:rRNA from 1 species